rnacentral:rRNA from 1 species
CCUACGGGAGGCAGCAGUGAGGAAUAUUGGUCAAUGGACGAGAGUCUGAACCAGCCAAGUAGCGUGAAGGAUGACUGCCCUAUGGGUUGUAAACUUCUUUUAUAUGGGAAUAAAGUGUUCCAUGUGUGGUAUUUUGUAUGUACCAUAUGAAUAAGGAUCGGCUAACUCCGUGCCAGCAGCCGCGGUAAUACGGAGGAUCCGAGCGUUAUCCGGAUUUAUUGGGUUUAAAGGGAGCGUAGGUGGAUUGUUAAGUCAGUUGUGAAAGUUUGCGGCUCAACCGUAAAAUUGCAGUUGAAACUGGCAGUCUUGAGUACAGUAGAGGUGGGCGGAAUUCGUGGUGUAGCGGUGAAAUGCUUAGAUAUCACGAAGAACUCCGAUUGCGAAGGCAGCUCACUGGACUGCAACUGACACUGAGGCUCGAAAGUGUGGGUAUCAAACAGGAUUAGAUACCCGUGUAGUC